GAUGAAGAACGUAGCAAAAUGCGAUAAGUAAUGUGAAUUGCAGAAUUCAGUGAAUCAUCGAAUCUUUGAACGCACAUUGCGCCCGCUGGUAUUCCGGCGGGCAUGCCUGUUCGAGCGUCAUUUCAACCCUCAAGCCCCCGGGUUUGGUGUUGGGGAUCGGCUCUGCCCUUCUGGGCGGUGCCGCCCCCGAAAUACAUUGGCGGUCUCGCUGCAGCCUCCAAUGCGUAGUAGCUAACACCUCGCAACUGGAACGCGGCGCGGCCAUGCCGUAAAACCCCAACUUCUGAAUGUUGACCUCGGAUCAGGUAGGAAUACCCGCUGAACUUAAGCAUAUCAAUAAGCGGAGGA
rnacentral:misc_RNA from 1 species